rnacentral:miRNA from 1 species
UUUCACACACACACACACACACACACACACACACACACUUUAAGCUCAAGUAUCAUCUCACAUUGCACUGUGUGUGUGUGUGUGUGUGUGUGUGUGUGAAU